CUGAAAAGCUCCUGCUGGUUUCCUUCCCAGCCUUUAGCACUUUGCUAUGGUACUUGUCCCGAGGCUUCUGCUUCUGCUCAACCUUCUGGAAAGGCAAGGCAGGAGCGGGGUGUAAAGCUCAACCGAUCCUUCUGAAAGAUUGACCGGUGCUGGAAACUCUGCCCAUAAGUCUCUGUCUUACUGCUGAAAUAGUCUGAUAACUUAGUGCUGUUGCUGCUCUCUGGCUUGAUUCAAGUUGCUUUGGAGAUGUGCAGUCGGGCUCCCGGCACCCAGCUGUGGACCAGCACCGAGCUGUGGGGCUCUCGGCGUGCGCCCUUCAACGCAUCUUUCCAGGCAUUGGAGAGUAACCAACGGUUCCGCAUCAGUGACGUCAGCUGUGCAAAACUGGCAAGUUGCCCGAUUUAGGUACGGAAGAAACUAGGAUUGAAACAAGAGCUCUUACGGAUGUUUAAUAAGGGAGAGGAAGCAACAGAACCACACAGCUGCAAGAGGUGCAAGGUAAAUAUGAAAAGAGUUUCCUCUUGAUAACCUACUCCAGCAUGCUACAUCUGUCUGCUCCUUCAAAAAAAAUAUUAUAUUACACUUAACGACUGUAACUCUAUAAUUAGAGAUAAGAUGAAAGCAACUGUGAAGGCUGCGUGACUAAUCUAAGUUUCAGCAGGUACUGACUUGUGUUCAGUUCUGCUAAAUUUAGCACCUACUGCUGAUAGUUUGUGUGGAAUUCUAAAAUUAGAUUUAAUCUAGUUUUGUGAUAAAGAUAACUUAAAGUGACUAUGAAGAUUUAAAAAACUCAGGUUUUGAUUCAUACAGCCUCCCCAGUUGCUAACGCUCUCUAUAACACUGAGCACGAGUCCAACUAUACGAACAGCUAGCCAGACUAGAAACAAAUGACACCUUUUCAGAACA